rnacentral:rRNA from 1 species
AGCUUGCUACCGGACCUAGCGGCGGACGGGUGAGUAAUGCUUAGGAAUCUGCCUAUUAGUGGGGGACAACAUCUCGAAAGGGAUGCUAAUACCGCAUACGUCCUACGGGAGAAAGCAGGGGAUCUUCGGACCUUGCGCUAAUAGAUGAGCCUAAGUCGGAUUAGCUAGUUGGUGGGGUAAAGGCCUACCAAGGCGACGAUCUGUAGCGGGUCUGAGAGGAUGAUCCGCCACACUGGGACUGAGACACGGCCCAGACUCCUACGGGAGGCAGCAGUGG